rnacentral:rRNA from 1 species
GAUGAACGCUGGCGGCGUGCCUAAUACAUGCAAGUCGAGCGAACCACUUCGGUGGUGAGCGGCGAACGGGUGAGUAACACGUAGGUUAUCUGCCCAUCAGACGGGGACAACGAUUGGAAACGAUCGCUAAUACCGGAUAGGACGAAAGUUUAAAGGUGCUUCGGCACCACUGAUGGAUGAGCCUGCGGCGCAUUAGCUAGUUGGUAGGGUAAAGGCCUACCAAGGCGACGAUGCGUAGCCGACCUGAGAGGGUGAACGGCCACACUGGGACUGAGACACGGCCCAGACUCCUACGGGAGGCAGCAGUAGGGAAUCUUCGGCAAUGGGCGAAAGCCUGACCGAGCAACGCCGCGUGAAUGAUGAAGGCCUUCGGGUUGUAAAAUUCUGUUAUAAGGGAAGAAUGGCUCUAGUAGGAAAUGGCUAGAGUGUGACGGUACCUUAUGAGAAAGCCACGGCUAACUACGUGCCAGCAGCCGCAGUAA